GACGAACGCUGGCGGCGUGCCUAAUACAUGCAAGUUGAGCGCUGAAGGUUGGUACUUGUACCAACUGGAUGAGCAGCGAACGGGUGAGUAACGCGUGGGGAAUCUGCCUUUGAGCGGGGGACAACAUUUGGAAACAAAUGCUAAUACCGCAUAAAAACUUUAAACACAAUUUUUAAGUUUGAAAGAUGCAAUUGCAUCACUCAAAGAUGAUCCCGCGUUGUAUUAGCUAGUUGGUGAGGUAAAGGCUCACCAAGGCGAUGAUACAUAGCCGACCGGAGAGGGUGAUCGGCCACAUUGGGACUGAGACACGGCCCAAACGCCUACGGUAGGCAGCAGUAGGGAAUCGUCGGCAAUGGACGAAAGUCUGACCGAGCAACGCCGCGGGAGUGAAGAAGGUUUUCGGAUCGUAAAACUCUGUUGGUAGAGAAGAACGUUGGUGAGAGUGGAAAGCUCAUCAAGUGACGGUAACUACCCAGAAAGGGACGGCUAACUACGUG
rnacentral:rRNA from 1 species